ncrna:Synechococcus sp. CC9311 Glutamine-II riboswitch (downstream peptide RNA)
CAUCGUUCACCUCGUUUUUGCGAGGCGCAGAUCGGCCCAAGCCAAGGAACGGGGACUUGGG